UCAUGGCUCAGAACGAACGCUGGCGGCGCGCCUAAUACAUGCAAGUCGAGCGAGAAGGUGUAGCAAUACACUUGUAAAGCGGCGAACGGGUGAGGAAUGCAUGGGUAACCUACCCUCGAGUGGGGAAUAACUAGCCGAAAGGUUAGCUAAUACCGCAUACGUUUCCGGAACUUCGGUUUCGGAAAGAAAGCAAUACCGUGGGUAUUGCGCUCCUGGAUGGGCUCAUGUCCUAUCAGCUUGUUGGUGAGGUAACGGCUCACCAAGGCUUCGACGGGUAGCUGGUCUGAGAGGACGAUCAGCCACACUGGCACUGCGACACGGGCCGGACUCCUACGGGAGGCAGCAGUAAGGAAUAUUGCGCAAUGGACGAAAGUCUGACGCAGCGACGCCGCGUGGGGGAUGAAGGUCUUCGGAUUGUAAACCCCUUUCGGGAGGGAAGAUGGAGUGGGUAACCACUUGGACGGUACCUCCAGAAGCAGCCACGGCUAACUUCGUG
rnacentral:rRNA from 1 species